rnacentral:tRNA from 1 species
UGUUUUAAUAGUUUAAAUAAAAAUAUUAAUUUUGUAAAUUAAAGUUAGAAUAACUCUUUAAUACAUC